AAAAUAAAAUAGAGGGGCUCAUUAGCUACCAGAAACACCCCCAUGUAUGUUCAGCAAUUAUUUACGGUUUAGGAGAUAUGACCCAUUUUGUACCUUUUUCUAGAUUUUCUAUCUUACUUCAGAAAUAAUCAUUUUGUCGCUAUCCCUUUCUUAAUAAUUAUUUUAUUUUACUUCACAACUAUGCCUAAGGCUGUGUACCGCUUAAUCAAAGAUAAAUCAAAGUCACAUCAAGUAUAAAAAAAAAAGUUAUCGGAAGUCAAAGUGAGAAUUCGACCAAAAUUGUUACAGUUGUUAAAACUUCGUCGAAGAAUAAUAAACACAUGAGAUUGUCAUGGACCCUGAAAGUAUUUCUUAAAACUGCUCCAUUUAAUAGGCUUUUAGAAACAUCCAAAAAAAGUACCCUUAAUACGGGCAAAAAACUAAGUAAUUUGACCUCAAAUAUUGCAAGACAGACAGAUUUGAAGGAAAAUUUGACAUUCUCAUACAAUGUAGCUGCUUCUUUCUAACGUUGUUGAAGGUGCUCAAAGACACAUUUUCAGUUAAAAGUAAAUAAAAAUCACGCUUAUAAUCGCUAACAGGGUAGACAUAGCAACAAUCCGAAGACAAAACUUGCAGUCACUUUUGGUAUUCGUAUUUUAAUGAAGGUACAU